AACGAACGCUGGCGGCAUGCCUAACACAUGCAAGUCGAACGAGACCUUCGGGUCUAGUGGCGCACGGGUGCGUAACGCGUGGGAACCUGCCCUUAGGUUCGGAAUAACUCCCCGAAAGGGGUGCUAAUACCGGAUAAUUUCUUCGGACCAAAGAUUUAUCGCCUUUGGAUGGGCCCGCGUUGGAUUAGCUAGUUGGUAGGGUAAAAGCCUACCAAGGCGACGAUCCAUAGCUGGUCUGAGAGGAUGAUCAGCCACACUGGGACUGAGACACGGCCCAGACUCCUACGGGAGGCAGCAGUGGGGAAUAUUGGACAAUGGGCGAAAGCCUGAUCCAGCAAUGCCGCGUGAGUGAUGAAGGCGUUAGGGUUGUAAAGCUCUUUUACCCGGGAUGAUAAUGACAGUACCGGGAGAAUAAGCUCCGGCUAACUCCGUG
rnacentral:rRNA from 1 species